AUUGAACGCUGGCGGCAUGCCUUACACAUGCAAGUCGAACGGCAGCACGGGAGCUUGCUCCUGGUGGCGAGUGGCGAACGGGUGAGUAAAGCAUCGGAACGUGCCCUGAAGUGGGGGAUAACGUAGCGAAAGUUACGCUAAUACCGCAUAUUCUGUGAGCAGGAAAGCAGGGGAUCUUCGGACCUUGUGCUUUAGGAGCGGCCGAUGUCGGAUUAGCUAGUUGGUGAGGUAAAGGCUCACCAAGGCGACGAUCCGUAGCGGGUCUGAGAGGAUGAUCCGCCACACUGGGACUGAGACACGGCCCAGACUCCUACGGGAGGCAGCAGUGGGGAAUUUUGGACAAUGGGCGCAAGCCUGAUCCAGCCAUGCCGCGUGAGUGAAGAAGGCCUUCGGGUUGUAAAGCUCUUUCGGCGGGGAAGAAAUUGCACUCUCUAAUACAGGGUGUAGAUGACGGUACCCGCAUAAGAAGCACCGGCUAACUACGUG
rnacentral:rRNA from 1 species